rnacentral:rRNA from 1 species
GGUCACUUUGAAAAAAAACUAAACAAGAUCAGACUUGAUUAGUACUUGGAUGGGAAACCAGCAGAAAAUUCCAGGAGAGUGAACU